GUCUUGCUAUCUAGAUGGAGAUGCAUUUUUAGCUGAUGAUGAGCGGUGCUGCAGGGAAGACACCUACACCAGGUCAGGCCGUAUACUCUGCUUCUAAAUUUGCUCUAAUUGGGUACUUUCACACUCUGCGUUCUGAGGUGCAAGCUUGGAUUUGAGGAACAUAUAUCUCUAUGCUAACAAAUUGGAACUCAACCGGUACCUUGUACAGUGGUGAACACCAACAUUGUAGAUUUUGACUUUACUAGCAUUCUAUUUGGAUUGUAAUUUUUUCAUAAAAGAACUUUUUCCAAGUUUUUAGUUGUAAUAACUUUCACAUAUGGCUCCAAUUUUGAGACUCAAAUGGAAUGCUUGAUUAAA